GACGUAGGAGGCGAGCGUUGUCCGGAUUCAUUGGGCGUAAAGAGCACGCAGGCGGUUUGGCAAGUCGGAUGUGAAAACCCGGAGCUCAACUCCGGACCUGCAUCCGAAACUGCCCGACUAGAGGUAGGUAGGGGAGAUCGGAAUUCCUGGUGUAGCGGUGAAAUGCGUAGAUAUCAGGAAGAACACCCGUGGCGAAAGCGGCUCUCUGGAACGGUACUGACGCUGAGACGCGAAAGCGUGGGGAGCGAACAGG
rnacentral:rRNA from 1 species